CCUACGGGUGGCAGCAGUGGGGAAUAUUGCACAAUGGGGGAAACCCUGAUGCAGCGACGCCGCGUGAGUGAAGACGUAUCUCGGUACGUAAAGCUCUAUCAGCAGGGAAGAAAAUGACGGUACCUGUCUAAGAAGCCCCGGCUAACUACGUGCCAGCAGCCGCGGGAAUACGUAGGCGGCCAGCGUUAUCCGGAUUUACUGGGUGUAAAGGGAGCGUAGGCGGCAGGACAAGUCUGGAGUGAAAUGCCGGGGCUUAACCCCGGAACUGCUUUGGAAACUGUGCGACUGGAGUGCAGGAGGGGUAAGCGGAAUUCCUAGUGUAGCGGUGAAAUGCGUAGAGAUUAGGAAGAACACCGAUGGCGAAGGCAGCUUACUGGACUGUAACUGACGUUGAGGCUCGAAAGCGUGGGGAGCAAACAGGAUUAGAUACCCGUGUAGUC
rnacentral:rRNA from 1 species